UACGUAGGGUGCAAGCGUUAAUCGGAAUUACUGGGCGUAAAGCGUGCGCAGGCGGUUUUGUAAGACUGUCGUGAAAUCCCCGGGCUUAACCUGGGAAUGGCGAUGGUGACUGCAAGGCUAGAGUUUGGCAGAGGGGGGGUAGAAUUCCACGUGUAGCAGUGAAAUGCGUAGAGAUGUGGAGGAACACCGAUGGCGAAGGCAGCCCCCUGGGUCAAAAACUGACGCUCAUGCACGAAAAGCGUGGGGAGCAAACAGG
rnacentral:rRNA from 1 species